ACCGCCACAGCUGAAGAGCAGAUCCAGGGCCUCCUGUGCAGGGCUGGAUGGUGGGGGUUCCACUGAGGAGAGACCAGCGGGGAUCAGUGCUGCACUCACCAUUUCCAAGAUUUCAAACUGGAGCCACCUUCUCAAGUCCCCAGUCAGAAAAUGGCCCAAGACAUGGCCCAAGGCCCUUCACCUGCCGAGCCUGUUUCUUCAUGUUAAAAAGUAGGCUAAUGAAGUUGGAAUGUUCAAGGCCCUAUCAUACAAGAAGAAGAGUGAGGCUGCUCAGAGGCUCAGUGCCCCCAUCUGUCACCUACGGCCAUCUCUGAGGGCCAGUCAGGAUCUCCAGGGUGGCUCUGCCCAGAGUUCCAGGGCCUUAAGUCUGCAGUGCCUGCUGGCCCAGGUCCCUGUGCCUCUGUCCCUGUGACACUCACCGAACACCUGGGCCCGGGGGAAGGCAGGGAACUCCUCGAGGCGGCGAAAGAGGUUGCGGUGAGUGUAGGCCAGGUCCCCAUGCAGCUUUCGGAAGUCACUGUACCGCUUCCAGACCACUACCUGCGGGGGAUGUGAGGCUGGAGGGUGGGAGGUACACUCCCGUGCCCAGCUGUGCCCAACUCCCUUCCUGUUUCCAGACUUGAAAUCGAGGGACAGUCCCCCUCCCUUACAGGACUCUCACCUCUUUGAUAUCCUCGGGAUCCUUCUUUGAGAUAAACUGAGAAAGAAAAAGCAAGAAACAGGCCAAGAACUUGCAUCUCCCAAAACCAGAGAACCUCAGGUCUCCAAGGAAAUGUGUGCAGGGGGCCAGUCCUUCCCCUCCAGAGGAAGCCCUGGGCUCCAUGCAUCUGGAUACAGGAGCCACCACCUGGCCAGCCUAGGAGAGGCUGUACUCUGUGUAGCCCUUGGGGUGGGUCCUGGGGUCGGAGACAGUGUAGUGUCACAGGAAGUCAUCUUUUGCCUGCCGAGUCUAGGAGAGUAGACUUUUAAAUAAUAAUAAUUUUAAAAUCAUGUCCUACAACUGGGAGGUUUGUGAGGCAGAAAUGAAGAACAGAGCUAUCUAAAAGAUAAGGCAGGCUCAGAGUGGGGUGUGG